UACGUAGGGUGCGAGCGUUGCCCGGAUUUAUUGGGCGUAAAGGGCGCGUAGGCGGUCACGCACGUCCGUUGUGAAAUCGCUCGGCUCAACUGGGCGGGGUCAGCGGAUACGGCGUGGCUGGAGCAAGCUAGGGGGCAAUGGAAUUCCCGGUGUAGUGGUGGAAUGCGUAGGUAUCGGGAGGAACACCAGUGGCGAAGGCGGUUGCCUGGAGCUUUGCUGACGCUGAUGCGCGAAAGCGUGGGGAGCGAUCCGG
rnacentral:rRNA from 1 species